GUCUCUAAUGACGAAGAAAAUUGAUGGUCUUUUCUUCUCUGGUCAGAUCAAUGGGACAACAGGGUAUGAAGAGGC
rnacentral:sRNA from 1 species